AGAAGCUCUCCUGCACCCUCAACCUGCUGGCCACACCCAGGGCCCAGCUCAUCCAGAUGAGCUGGACAGCCCUGCGGGCUGCGUUCCCCGCACUGAGCCCAGCACAGCUGCACCGGCUGCUGACUCACUACCAGCUGGCCUCGGCCAUGGGCCCCAUGAGCACCUGGGAGCCAGGGGCCCAGGACAGCCCCGAGGCCUUCAGGUCAGGUAAGCCCUGCCCCAGGGCAGGAGAGGGCUGGGGACUCAGUGGGAGACUCGCCCCGAGGCUGGAGGCAGCAUGCUCUCAUCCCAACUGAAGUGGGGUGUGGGGGACCUCUCUCCUGGGGACCUCCCUGGAGGAGCCUCCACCCAGAGGACCCCCCCGCCCCGCCCCAUCCCCAACCUGGGGAUCCGGGGACCUCCUCGGCGGGGGAGUCAAGGAGCCGAGAGUCCAUGCCCAAGUUCCAAACUCCAGGCUCAGGUCCAAGGCCCCCUCGUUCCCUCACGGAGCCGGAGGAUGGGGCCUCCCCUGUUGUAUGGCUACCCAGG
rnacentral:lncRNA from 10 species